GGAUCAAUGAUGACUUCAAAAAUGGAUGUCGUUGGAAUCUGAACAAAAUGAGUGACAAGAUCACUUCUGUGAGCUGAGGUCC
ensembl:snoRNA SNORD116 Small nucleolar RNA SNORD116